CUCCUCGGGGAUACCAUCCCCCGACCUCACCUUCUACCUACCGCAGCCUGCUAGCCUUUCCGGGAGAAAAGGCAUCCUUACCUCUGGUUGAAGGUCUCGGGGCCUCCCCCUCUGCAUCCGGACCCUCUCCCCAUCCCAGCCUCCCAUGCCAAGGCCCGCCUUGUCAGUCACUUCCUUUUGUCAUCGGCUUGGCAAACGGGCAAGAAAACAGAGCUUCAUGGGAAACAGCGGCAACAGUUGUCCCAUACACCUUUCCCCAAGUUGGAGCUAGGCCUGGGGCCCCAGCCCAUGGCGCCCCGGGAGCUCCCUACCUGCUCCAUCUGCCUGGAGAGGUUGCGCGACCCCAUCUCGCUGGACUGUGGCCACGACUUCUGCAUACGGUGCUUCAGCACACACCGUCUCCCGGGCUGUGAGCCGCCCUGCUGUCCUGAGUGCCGGAAGAUAUGCAAGCAGAAGAGGGGCCUCCGGAGCCUGGGCGAGAAGAUGAAGCUCCUGCCGCA
rnacentral:lncRNA from 1 species